rnacentral:misc_RNA from 1 species
UCUCCGUAGGUGAACCUGCGGAGGGAUCAUUACUGAGUGAGGGCUCACGCCCGACCUCCAACCCUUUGUGAACUACAACUCUGUUGCUUCGGGGGCGACCCCGCCGUUUCGGCGGUGGCGCUCCCGGAGGCCUUCAAACACUCCAUCUUUGCGUCGGAGUUUAAGUAAAUUAAACAAAACUUUCAACAACGGAUCUCUUGGUUCUGGCAUCGAUGAAGAACGCAGC